GCCAUAAAGCUCAAGUUGAUUAGAGCAUGGCGUUGAUAACGCCAAGGUUGCAGGUUCGAUCCCCAUAUGGUA
rnacentral:tRNA from 1 species